ensembl:lncRNA
UGGUGCCCAGACCUUAGCACUGUGGACUUUGGUGCUUGGCUUUACAAACCCCCUCCCCACUACCAGGCAAUGGUUACCUAAGGACUCUUAGUGGUCCUGCUCAGCCAUUGGUUGGAGCUUCAGCGGCCCCUCCCACAGGCAACCAACUGUCAAGAAGCAACCGGUAGUGGUCCUGCUCAGCCAUUGGUUGGAGCUGCAGUGGCCCCUCCCACUGGCAACCACCUGUCAAGGAGCGACUGUUAGCAGCCCAUUCUGUCAACCGUCAGUGGAACAGUGGUCUUCAAGAGGAGAGUGAGAUCUACAGCUGAGUCAAGAAACAUUGUUCCUGGUGGUGAAAAGGGACAGUGAGUGUUCCAUAAUCCCUGUGGAAUAACUUUGAGACUGUGACAUCAAAAGAUAAGAGUGGAAUUAGCUAUGACAAACCUAGACAGCAUAUUAAAAGGCAGAGACAUUACUUUGCCAACAAAGGUCCGUCUAGUCAAAGCUAUGGUUUUUUCAGUACUCAUGUAUGUAUGGAUGUGAGAGUUGGACCAUAAAGAGAGCUGACCACCACAGAAUUGAUGCUUUUGAACCGUGGUGUUAGAGAAGACUCUUGAGAGUUCCUUGGACUACAAGGAGCUCAAAUCAGUCCAUCCCAAAGAAAAUCAGUCCUGAAUAUUCAUUGGAUGGACUGAUGCUGAAGCUGAAACUCCAAUACUUUGGCCACCUGAUGCGAAGAGCUGACUCAUUUGAAAAGACCCUGAUGCUGGGAAAGAUGGAAGGCAGGAGGAGAAGGGGACGACAGAGGAUGAGAUGGUUGGAUGGCAUCCCCAACUUGAUGGACAUGAGUUUGAGUAGGUUCCAGGAGUUGGCGAUGGAAAAGAAGCUUGGCAUGCUGCAGUCCACAGGGUCACAAAGAGUCGUCCUCGACUGAGCGAGUGAACUGAACAAAACCACUCCCCUACUCUACAAUCUGUCAGCAUCCACUCAGCUUAUGGAAGCUCUACCUUGUAACUGAGAUUUAGCAUCUCUCUGAGAUAACAGUCCGGAGCAGGUGGCCUUAAUUAUCAACACGGGGGAGCUGAGCCCAUCCAUCAGUGCCCACAGCUCCAGCCUAGGAUGUGGUGGGUGUACCUAUGAGUGAGUAAGAGAAAGUAGGUACUUUCUAUCUGAAUCUGAUGGCCUAUGUUGUGCACAAGGAACAAUAUCGCAGCGAACAGAUGAGAAAUUUAAAACAUGAAAUUCUUUCCAUUGAGAAGAUAUUUAUAGUGACAUGAAAAAAGUCUGCUGAUAUACAUUAAUUGUCCAUUUCAAGACGAUUUCUACACAGCAAUGAAAUAGAGCAGACUCCUAGUACACAACGUGGGUGAAACUGAAAAACAGUGCACUCAGUGAAAGAGGCCAGGCACAAGGGAAUACGUAUUGUAGGAUUCUGUUUUGAUAAAGCCCAACAGUAGUCCACUCUCAUCUGUGAGGAUAGAAACCAGGAUAGUGGUUGCUUCUGAGGGGAGAAGCGGGAGAGAAGAAAUGGACUUGAGGAAAAUUUCUGCUCUGUCUUUAUUAAGGUGGUAAUUACACAAAUGUACACAUUUAUCAAAGCUUAUCAAACUGUACAUUCAAGAUCCGUGUGCCUUACUUAUGUGAUUACACUUUAUAGAAAGAUAACAGUCUGCUCUGGAAUGCAAUCUCAGAGACACACUAAAUCUCUUAAGGCUUUGUGGGGGGAUUUUCAGUUUACUGGGUGAACUGUGCUGCUUCAUUCUAGUGGAAAGGAGAGAACAUGAGCAGACAAAUGAGUCCGAUGCUUUUAGACCUUUAAACUGUGCAUCUCUGGCUUUGCACACUUGCUGGCUGUCUUUCUGGAAGUUUCCCCCACAGACCAGCCCAGCUCAUCUCACUUCCUUCAUGUCUCAGGUAACAGCCUUUACUUGAUUUGUGUCCAUUGGAGAUUGUUCCCAACCAUCUCCUCCUGAGCUGACUUACUUUCUCUCCACAUUCUUUGAACUUGUCUGACCCUCCUGUACCUGGGCUGAGCCUCAUGGCAACAAUUCCUGGACAACUAACAUCUGUGCUUGUUCUGCUGCCAAGAUGGGAGUUCUGACCUAUGACCACCGAUCAUAGCCUCCAGCCCCUCUCAGGGGACACUGGGCAUUGAAUCAUAUUUAUCAGAACCUCUCUGCCUUAAGUUAGAGGCUCCUUUGAACUUGGUGUCCUCAUCUCUCCCCACUCUUGCAGGUCCCCAUUUCCACCCUGGCCAUCUCCCCACCUCUUUUCUCCAUGUCCUUGUCCAAUCCCUCGUCAUCUCCAUUGCCUUUCCCCACCCAGGUCAUCCAGGAAAACGUUCAGGAAGAAAUCUGCCAUUUCUCAGACUCCUCUCAACUUUACAAAUCUGUUUUAUACCAGUAUUCCAAGUCAAAAAUCAAGUAAAGGCUGUUAUUCAUAUUUCAAUUGGAUUCUUGGCUUUAUAAAACCACGUUUCACAUAAUUCCUCAAAUUGUGUCUCCUUUUGGUGGGAAAUUGCCCUUUAUUUUUUUAAUUGAGAGAAACUGACAUGUCAGUUUCAGGUGUGCAAACAGUAAUUUGACGUGUAUGUUGCAUAUGCCAGCCUGUGUGCUCAGUUCUCAGUCACGUCUGACUCUGACUCUCUGUGACCCCAUGGACUAUAGCCUGCCAGGCUCUUCUGUCCAUGAGAUAUCCAAAGCAAGAGUACUGGAGUGGGUUAUCAUUUCCUACUCCAGGGGAUCAUCAUCCCCAUUCAGGGACCAAACCAGUGUCUCCUGCUUUGGCAGGCAGAUUCUUUACCACUGAGCCACCAGGGAAGCCCAGAUAUUGUAUAUACUGCAAAAUAGUUAUAAGACGUCUAGUUAACAUUCAUCACCAUGCAUAGUUAUCUGUUUUUGUAACACACUGUCUAUCUUUUAAAGCUACACUGAAACAACUUAAUUUAUAGAAAAUUGAUGUACACACAGAUGUUAUCUUCUCACUAUAUUUUUAUGUCCUUAUGGACAAUUGCUUUAUAAAAAAAAAAAAUCCCCAGGUGCCUGGCAUCUUGCCUUAUACAUAGUUACUCGGUUGACAGUUGCUGAAUGAAACAGUGAACAAAAGUCAAAAUGAAGAGUAACAACUUACUAUGUCUUCAAAAGCAACAGAGCGAUACGCACAAUUAAUGCUUUGGGGGAAAUCGGACUGACUUCCUAAGGACUCACUGUGGGGUUAAUUUGCUGAGAAACCUCAAAUUCAAUCUCACCUCCCUCCCUUCCGAGUCUGCCUGGUAGAUAGAGGGCAGCCUGCUUGUACAGAGCAGCACAACCAUGAGGGGAAUCCCGUGCUACAGUGAUCAAGUUUGGCACUGUUGGUUAACGACACUGUCAGAGCUUGUCGGUUUUGCUUAUGUGUCUGCUUCUCUGGGGUAUGCAAUGAAAAUAAUAAAAAGUGACUUUUAGGACCCCAAGGUAAGAUGCUUGUUUGAUGCUUAGAAUAAUUUAGGCCAGUAGAUAUGAGUCUUUCUUACACACUUUUGAUUUCCUUUCAUUUGAUUCAAGUCCCAAUAAUGCAUUAGAGCAAUUCAUGGGAAUAACAUCACAUUCUGAAAUUUGGAGAGAUCCUACCUUGUGUAUUUCUGCCUGCCUGUGGCUUAGAUAAAGAUCUUCCUAUAUAAUUAGCCUAACAUUUCUUUUGGAUAAACUUGGGAAUCCAAGGAGGGAAUACAGUGCAUUUCUGUGUGUUUCAAAUGCAGAAGAAAUAUCUAUCCAAAUUAGUUGAUCACAGAUGAUCACAGUACUAAAGAAGGAACAAGAGUGGUCAUUGAGCCAAACCUCAUCAGACAACAGUACCUAACAAAGUACUGUGUCCCUGAUAAGAUUGACGAUCUCCAGACAAGUGCACAGACAUUUUACUGUGUUCAGCACAUGCUAAUGAGGAGCCUCACUGGGGUUCGGCUACUUCCUUGAGGUCUAGAUGGCAUCUCUGGGGUGGGUGCCUGGCCGGCUCUUUCCUGGGUCCCAGUGCUCCUAAUUCAGAGCUGCAUCACAGGGCAGCCAGCUCAUCACAGCUGGGCCUCCCACCCUCCCUCUUCUGCUUCUUUGCUCUCUUCUUCAUCCUUUGUGGAAGGGUGAUCUUAACUCCAGAAGCACCUUCUGCAUGCUCUCACAGACGAACUGAUGGCCAGCACCAGAAACCUUCCUCACAGUGGGCCCUGAGAAACGAUGGAGAAACAUGUUUCAGAGUAACUCACAGGAAUCAGCACAAGAAGAAAGGCUGGUCAACAGGACAGUUAGCAAGUACUUACAACACAUGCAGGGCACGUGCGGGGCAUCGGAUUAGAAUAGAACAGGGGUGUAUUUUUGUCUCUAUGUCUCACAGUGAGUUUAUUAGCUCUCUAGCAGUGACUACAGCACUAAGGAAAACCGUGCUCAGAUUCUCUUUUGAAUCUGUGCAAGGUUAGAGGUGACUGCAGCCAAGAGAUAAUGCACAAAGAGUGCCAGAGGGGGCAUCCGUAGGCCUUAGCCUGUCCCUCGAAUUCUCCUUCCCUUUGCAAGGACAGACUAGAGACAAGGGUUAAGGUUAGAAAGCAACGUUAGUUCUCAGAGUCAAGCACUCUUUCAAGGAUAUGCGAGUGGGCUGCCCUCCAGAGGGUGAGAUAUUAUUACAAUAGCUAAUCCUAUUAUUUUUGCCCCUUUAUUUAAGAUUUCCAGCAUGUCUGAGGUGGAUAUCAUUACGAAAGUUUACAACGGGGGCAACUAGACUCAGAGGUGAUGGGUCUCGCCUAGUAAUCUGACCACAGCAUCCACGCACUGACCAUCCGACCACACCGUCAGACCCUGUGCCCCUCUGUCCCUCCAUGUGUCUGCCGUCAGCACAGCAACCUUCCCUGACCACUGAAAACUACUAAAAAGGUAGCUGAGCCUUUUGUUUGCUUGCUUUAAGAGGAAACAGAAACUCAGAAGGAAUUCAAAAUGUCACACACUUGGUGACCACAGACGCUCCUAAAACCCCGUCAGAACACCUGGACUCAAUCUCAGUUGGUUCCGUCCAGGAAGUCAUGGCACUGCUGUACCAUCUGGGCUUCGAGCACCUGCCUUUCUACAUGGCUAUAUUUUUCUCUGCAGUGAUGAUAACUGACUUUUUGUUUGUGGUAGUUUGUCUGGUACUAGAAGGUUGGCUCCCAGGGCAGUGCCCUAGGCUGUUUCAUUGUCAUCUGACUCCCUAGCACCCACUGUUCACUAGUAAAUAGGCACCAGUGAGGACCUGCAGAACGAGGGGGUUUCUAACACCCAGGAGUCUGUGCUGUGCGCAGCUGCUUCAGUUGUGCCUGACUCUUCAUGACCCCAUGGACUGUAGCCUGCCAGGCUCCUCUGUCCAUGGGAUUCUUCAGGCAAGAAUACUGGAGUGGGUUGUCAUGCUCUCCUCCAGGGGAUCUUCCCAACCCUAGGAUCGAACCUGUGUCUCCUGCCUCUCCUGCACUGCAGGCAGAUUCUUUACUGAUGAGUCACCGGGGAAGCCCAUCCAUGAGUCUAACCAGCUGUAAAUGCUGCUAAGUCACUUCAGUCGUGUCCAACUCUGUGCGACCCCAUAGACGGCAGCCCACCAGGCUCCCCCGUCCCUGGGAUUCUCCAGGCAAGAACACUGGAAUGGGUUGCCAUUUCCUUCUCCAAUGCAUGAAAGUGAAAAGUGAAAGUGAAGCCGCUCAGUUGUGUCCGACCUCAGCGACCCCAUGGACUGCAGCCUUCCAGGCUCCUCUGUCCAUGGGAUUUUCCAGGCAAGAGUACUGGAGUGGGGUGCCAUUGCCUUCUCAGAACCAGCUGUAAAUAGUGAGGGGAAAUUAGCUCAGGUCACCUCUUUUGGCUAACAAACUUACAUCUUAACAGGGAUUUCUCUACAGAACUUUAAAACAAAGAAGUGAAUUCUGUGGUGAAAGCAGGUCAUUUGGGGGUCAAGUGUUACGCAGAAGAGUUUCUGCAUUCCUCAGGUCACCUCCUCAGGGACCACCUGUGCUAUGAGGGGCAGCUAGAUCUGAAGUCUGUGAUAUAAUUCAGUGAUGAUGCCCCUGGUGGACAUUUCAGGGAGGAAAGAGAAGUCCUUCUGGAGGACCACUUGUUAAGACUGGGGAAACUGUGGUAGUAAUUGUGGUGCAUGGGCUUAGCUGUUCUGAUAGAUGUGGGAUCUACCCCCACCAGGAAUCUGACUUGUGUCUCCUGCACUGGCAGAUGGAUUCUUUACCUCUGAGCCACCAGGGAAGCCCAGAAAAAUCUAUUUUUUUUUUUAAAGCCUGGUGGAGGGCUGCACUACAUUAAAAGCAGACAAUUAUAAUGAAAUUCAAUAAAAUCGAUGUAAUGAGUAAGGUCUGCAUACAUAAUUUUUAACUGCUGUCUUUGGCAUGAGGAAGAAGCACAUAGAUCAAAUUAUCUGUUAAAAAUCCGUGCCCCCAGUCAAAUUCCCCAAUUAGUUUACUACUACAGUUAGGACCGAGGGACUUAGUGAGACUCUCCUUGAAGUUUCCUUUGCUCAGUUCAGGAAUUGAGGAAGGUCCUGUGUGUUCACGUGUGCGCCCUGGAUGCCUGGGGGAUGGGGGGUGACUGAAACAGGACCCCUCUGUUUGCUUACUUAUGUUACUCCUUCCCCACCCUGUCCUCCUCUUAG